rnacentral:tRNA from 1 species
AAAGUAUUAGUUAAUAAUUAAUAUAAGAAUGUCAAUCUUAAGAAGCUAAAAGUAGCAUAUUUUU